rnacentral:rRNA from 1 species
GUGGGGAAUUUUGGACAAUGGGCGCAAGCCUGAUCCAGCAAUGCCGCGUGCAGGAAGAAGGCCUUCGGGUUGUAAACUGCUUUUGUACGGAACGAAACGGUCCUGGUUAAUACCUGGGGCUAAUGACGGUACCGUAAGAAUAAGCACCGGCUAACUACGUGCCAGCAGCCGCGGUAAUACGUAGGGUGCGAGCGUUAAUCGGAAUUACUGGGCGUAAAGCGUGCGCAGGCGGUGCUGUAAGACAGGCGUGAAAUCCCCGGGCUCAACCUGGGAAUUGCGCUUGGGACUGCAGUGCUGGAGUACGGCAGAGGGGGAUGGAAUUCCGCGUGUAGCAGUGAAAUGCGUGGAUAUGCGGAGGAACACCGAUGGCGAAGGCAGUCCCCUGGGCCUGUACUGACGCUCAUGCACGAAAGCGUGGGGAGCAAACAGGAUUAGAAACCCCUGUAGUCC